rnacentral:rRNA from 1 species
UACAGAGGUCCCAAGCGUUGUUCGGAUUCACUGGGCGUAAAGGGUGCGUAGGUGGUGAGGUAAGUUUGAUGUGAAAUCUCCGGGCUCAACCCGGAAAUGGCAUUGAAUACUAUCUCGCUAGAGAGUCGGAGGGGGGACUGGAAUACUUGGUGUAGCAGUGAAAUGCGUAGAUAUCGAGAGGAACACCAGUGGCGAAGG